rnacentral:ncRNA from 1 species
CAAAGGCUUGGUCCUGACUUUACUCCUGACUUUACUAUCAGCCCUAACCGAACUUACACAUGCAAGUAUCCGCACCCCCGUGAGAAUGCCCUCAAAACCCCGCCCGGGAAUGAGGGGCAGACAUCAGGCACGCCCCGCAGCCCAAGACGUCUUGCUUAGCCACACCCCCAAGGGAACUCAGCAGUGAUAAACAUUAGGCAAUAAGUGAAAACUUGACCUAGUUAUGGUUAUCUUUUUGAGGGCCGGUAAAACUCGUGCCAGCCACCGCGGUUAUACGAGAGGCCCAAGCUGAUAGGAAACGGCGUAAAGAGUGGUUAGGGAAAUUUUAAUACUAAAGCUAAACGCCUGCAAAGCCGUUAUACGCACCCGAAGGCAUGAAAACCCCCCACGAAAGUGGCUUUAACCCCACCCCGAACCCACGACAGCUUUGACACAAACUGGGAUUAGAUACCCCACUAUGCCCAGCCGUAAACUUUGAUAGUACCCCACAAUUUCUAUCCGCCCGGGAACUACAAGCACCAGCUUAAAACCCAAAGGACUUGGCGGUGCUUUAGACCCACCUAGAGGAGCCUGUUCUAGAACCGAUACCCCCCGUUCAACCUCACCACUUCUUGUUAUCCCCGCCUAUAUACCGCCGUCGUCAGCUUACCCUGUGAAGGCCUAGUAGUAAGCUAAAUUGGCACAGCCCAAAACGUCAGGUCGAGGUGUAGCGUACGAAGUGCGGAAGAAAUGGGCUACAUUUUCUGACCCAGAAAACUUUACGGAAGGAAAAAUGAAAAACAAACCCGAAGGAGGAUUUAGCAGUAAGCAGAAAGUAGAGCGUUCUGCUGAAACUGGCCCUUAAGCGCGCACACACCGCCCGUCACUCUCCCCGAAUCCAAAUUUCUUAUAUAAUUAAUCCGAAUAUAUAGGGCAAAGGGGAGGCAAGUCGUAACAUGGUAAGUGUACCGGAAGGUGCACUUGGUUAACA